rnacentral:rRNA from 1 species
CCUACGGGUGGCAGCAGUGAGGAAUAUUGGUCAAUGGGCGAGAGCCUGAACCAGCCAAGUCGCGUGAGGGAGUACUGCCCUAUGGGUUGUAAACCUCUUUUGUCGGGGAGCAAAAGCCGGACGUGUCCGGCUGUGAGAGUACCCUAAGAAAAAGCAUCGGCUAACUCCGUUCCAGCAGCCGCGGUAAUACGGGGGAUGCGAGCGUUAGCCGGAUUUAUUGGGUUUAAAGGGUGCGCAGGCGGAUUUUUAAGUCCGAGGUAAAAUCGUGGGGCGCAACCCCAUCCAGCCGUUGAAACUGGGGAUCUAGAGGGGGAGAGAGGUAGGCGGAAUGCGUGGUGUAGCGGUGAAAUGCAUAGAUAUCACGCAGAACCCCGAUUGCGAAGGCAGCAUACCGGUGCAAAACUGACGCUCAGGCACGAAAGCGUGGGUAUCGAACAGGAUUAGAUACCCGGGUAGUC